rnacentral:piRNA from 1 species
UGGUGAAUCAAGUUCUCUUGGCUGC